GAUGAACGCUGGCGGCGUGCUUAACACAUGCGAGUCGAACGAUGAAGCCCAGCUUGCUGGGUGGAUUAGUGGCGAACGGGUGAGUAACACGUGAGUAACCUGCCCUUAACUCUGGGAUAAGCCUGGGAAACUGGGUCUAAUACCGGAUAGGAGCGUCCACCGCAGGGUGGGUGUUGGAAAGAUUUAUCGGUUUUGGAUGGACUCGCGGCCUAUCAGCUUGUUGGUGAGGUAAUGGCUCACCAAGGCGACGACGGGUAGCCGGCCUGAGAGGGUGACCGGCCACACUGGGCCUGAGAGACGGCCCAGACUCCUACGGGAGGCAGCAGUGGGGAAUAUUGCACAAUGGGCGCAAGCCUGAUGCAGCGACGCCGCGUGUGGGAUGACGGCCUUCGGGUUGUAAACCUCUUUCAGUAGGGAAGAAGCGAAAGUGACGGUACCUGCAGAAGAAGCACCGGCUAACUACGUG
rnacentral:rRNA from 1 species